CACGUAGGGCGCAAGCGUUGUCCGGAAUUAUUGGGCGUAAAGAGCUCGUAGGCGGUCUGUUGCGUCCGCUGUGAAAACUCGGGGGCUUAACCCCGAGCCUGCAGUGGAUACGGGCAGACUAGAGGUAGGUAGGGGAGAAUGGAAUUCCCGGUGUAGCGGUGAAAUGCGCAGAUAUCUGGAGGAACACCGGUGGCGAAGGCGGCGUUCUGGACUGUCUCUGACACUGAAGAACGAAAGCCAGGGAGCAAACGGG
rnacentral:rRNA from 1 species